GGGCGCGUAGCUCAGCGGGAGAGCACUGCCUUCACACGGCAGGGGUCGCAGGUUCGAACCCUGCCGCGCCCACCA
rnacentral:tRNA from 2 species